rnacentral:rRNA from 1 species
GACGAACGCUGGCGGCGUGCCUAACACAUGCAAGUCGAACGAGAUCCAUGGGAGCUUGCUCCCGGAAGAUCUAGUGGCGAACGGGUGAGUAACACGUGAGAAACCUGCCCUGGAGUGGGGAAUAACUCGGGGAAACUCGAGCUAAUACCGCAUACCCUCGGAUGGUCGCAUGGCCGACCGAGGAAAGAUUUAUCACUCUAGGAGGGUCUCGCGGCCUAUCAGCUAGUUGGUGGGGUAACGGCCUACCAAGGCAACGACGGGUAGCUGGUUUGAGAGAACGAUCAGCCACACUGGGACUGAGACACGGCCCAGACUCCUACGGGAGGCAGCAGUGGGGAAUCUUGCGCAAUGGGCGAAAGCCUGACGCAGCAACGCCGCGUGCGGGAUGACGGCCUUCGUGGUUGUAAACCGCGUUUCAGCAGGGACGAAAUGACGGUACCUGCAGAAGAAGCCCCGGCUAACUACGUGCCAGCAGCCGCGGUAAU